rnacentral:tRNA from 1 species
GUUGUCGUGGCCGAGUGCUUAAGGCGAUGGAUUAGAAAUCCAUUGGGAUCUUCCCGCGUAGGUUCAAAUCCCGCCGACAACG